UGAAUUCGAGCUCGGUACCCGGGGAUCCUCUAGAGAUUUGGCGGACGGGUGAGUAAUGUCUGGGAAACUGCCUGAUGGAGGGGGAUAACUACUGGAAACGGUAGCUAAUACCGCAUAACGUCGCAAGACCAAAGAGGGGGACCUUCGGGCCUCUUGCCAUCGGAUGUGCCCAGAUGGGAUUAGCUAGUAGGUGGGGUAACGGCUCACCUAGGCGACGAUCCCUAGCUGGUCUGAGAGGAUGACCAGCCACACUGGAACUGAGACACGGUCCAGACUCCUACGGGAGGCAGCAGUGGGGAAUAUUGCACAAUGGGCGCAAGCCUGAUGCAGCCAUGCCGCGUGUAUGAAGAAGGCCUUCGGGUUGUAAAGUACUUUCAGCGG
rnacentral:rRNA from 1 species